GUGCGUAACUGGAGUUCAGAAAGUGUGCUCUUCCGUUCUGAGUUCAAAUUCCGCCGAGAUCGACUUUGCUUUUCAUCUUUUCGGGGUCGAUAAAUUAAGAACCAGUGAAAAACUGGGGUCGAUUACAAUCGGCUAGUCCCCUUCCACAACAUUUCAAGGCUUGUGCCUAGAGUAGAAAGGAUUAUUACACAUAAAAUACGAUCACUUAAGAGAUAAAGGAAACAUGGCUGAUGGCAGUCAUUAUGUACAAUAUGGAGCAGAAGGAGGAGGCGAAGAUUCUCAAGGCCACCAGAACAAAAAGAGUCUUGGGGAUAUGGCUUAGAAUUGGCCAUUCAAGCGAGUAUAGAUGACCUCAAUCGAAUCUCGGAAGAAAUAGUUCUUCCUGAGGACGUAAGACUGCGAGUGGUGGUAGAAGGUAGGCCGCCCAUAUGCUAUGAAUGUGAAGAAAAAGGCCACAUGAAAGCGAGGUGCCUCUAGAAAGAACCACAGACGGAAGAGAUGGAGAAGCAAGAAAGUGCAGACCAAGAGGUACAAGUCGAGGUAAAGGAGACAAGAACGGAUGAAGGAUUAACGCUGGUAAAAAAAUGAAAGAGAAGCGAUAGAGUAAGCUCUCCGCCAGAAAGGCAAAAAAAAAAAAUAAAUAAAGGAGAAACGUCAGAGGAAGAGGUUAUGAAGGAAGUCAGACGGAAGGAAGAUAAAAUGGUGAAAGAUAAAAUGGUGGUCGAAAAAGAAAUUGGAAAGGAGUGCGUAGAGAAGUUGCAGAAGGAUUGUACCAGUAGAGGAGGAGGAGGAUUCAGAACAAUUAUACGAAGGUGAAAUGGAGGAAUUAUUCAGAGUGGGAAGAGAAAUGGUACCAGCAGUGGAGGAGGAAAAGGGAAAGCUAGUAAGAAAGUCCAAAAAUCGAUGGCGUUUUGUGUCAUACGCGAAAAACAAGGAGAUAGAACGGAAAAUCACAAAAUUUAAGUCUAUUAUAAAGGUAAAACUGCCGACAGACAUGUAUUCGGAGAAUGUAAAGGCCAUUUUGAUCGACAGAGAGAAAUACAACAAGCUGAAUAAUAUGUGUGGAGGGAUCUUCACACCCCCGGAGUAGCGGUGGAAUUCGAUGAAUUACCACCGGUGGUGAAACUGAAAGAUAUCAAACCCUUCAUGAAAUACUAAAAAAGAAAAA